UACGGGGGGGGUAAGCGUUGUUCGGAAUUACUGGGCGUAAAGGGCUCGUAGGCGGCCAACUAAGUCGGAUGUGAAAUCCCCAGGCUUAACCUGGGAACUGCAUCCGAUACUGGAUGGCUUGAAUCCGGGAGAGGGAUGCAGAAUUCCAGGUGUAGCGGUGAAAUGCGUAGAUAUCGAGAGGAACACCAGUGGCGAAGGCGAGUCCCUGGACAUCUCCUGACACUGAGGCACGAAAGCUAGGGGAGCAAACAGG
rnacentral:rRNA from 1 species